rnacentral:rRNA from 1 species
GAUGAACGCUAGCGACAGGCUUAACACAUGCAAGUCGAGGGGUAACAGGGUAGCAAUACCGCUGACGACCGGCGCACGGGUGAGUAACGCGUAUGCAACCUGCCUAUAACUGGGGAAUAGCUCCCUGAAAGGGGAAUUAACACCGCAUAACACUAUUGAUUCGCAUGGAUUGGUAGUUAAAUGUAGCGAUACAGGUUAUAGAUGGGCAUGCGUGACAUUAGCUAGUUGGUGAGGUAACGGCUCACCAAGGCUACGAUGUCUAGGGGUUCUGAGAGGAAGGUCCCCCACACUGGUACUGAGACACGGUCCAGACACCUACGGGUGGCAGCAGUAGGGAAUAUUGGGCAAUGGGCAAAGCCUGACCCAGCCAUGCCGCGUGAGUGAUGAAGGUCCUAGAGAUUGUAAAACUCUUUUCUGAGGAAAGAAUAAAUAGGGAAGGAAAUGUCCUUAUUUGACGGUACCUCAGGAAUAAGGAACGGCUAACUCCGUGCCAGCAGCCGAC